rnacentral:rRNA from 1 species
GACGAACGCUGGCGGCGUGCCUAACACAUGCAAGUCGAACGGACGGAUUUAGAAGCUUGCUUCUGAUGAAGUUAGUGGCGGACGGGUGAGUAACGCGUGGGUAACCUACCCAUCAAACUGGGAUAACAUCGUGAGAACGGUGCUAAUACCGGAUACACUUAUUGAAUCGCAUGGUUUGAUAAGGAAAGGUGGCCUCUUUAAAUGCUACCGAUGAUGGACGGACCCGCGUCUGAUUAGCUAGUUGGUGAGGUAACGGCUCACCAAGGCGACGAUCAGUAGCCGGCCUGAGAGGGUGAACGGCCACACUGGGACUGAGACACGGCCCAGACUCCUACGGGAGGCAGCAGUGGGGAAUCUUCCGCAAUGGACGAAAGUCUGACGGAGCAACGCCGCGUGAGUGAGGAAGGCCUUCGGGUUGUAAAACUCUGUCUUUAAGGAAGAAUGUCACCUUUGCGAAUAGUUGAGGUGAAUGACGGUACUUGAGGAGGAAGCCACGGCUAACCACGUGCCAGCAGCCGCAGUAAUAC